GAUGAACGCUGGCGGCGUGCCUAAUACAUGCAAGUCGAGCGAACAGACGAGGAGCUUGCUCCUCUGACGUUAGCGGCGGACGGGUGAGUAACACGUGGAUAACAUACCUAUAAGACUGGGAUAACUUCAGGAAACCGGAGCUAAUACCGGAUAAUAUAUUGAAACGCAUGGUUCAAUAGUGAAAGAAGGUUUUGCUGUGACUUAUAGCUGGAUCCGCCCUGCAUUAGCUAGUUGGUAAGGUAACGGCUUACCGAGGCAGCGAGGGUUAUGCGCCCCGAAGGGGAGAUCGCACACCUGGGAUGAGAGACAGGGCCGAGACACUGACGGUAGGACGCGGUAGGGACUCUUCCGCAAGGGGCGAGUGCCUAACGGAGCACCGCGGCGGGAGUGCUGAAGGUCUUCGGAUCGGAAAGCUCUGUUAUUAGUAAAGAACAAAUGUGUAAGUAACUAUGCACAUCUUGACGGUACCUAAAGAGAAAGCCACGGCUAACUACGUG
rnacentral:rRNA from 1 species